UUGAACGCUGGCGGCAUGCCUUACACAUGCAAGUCGAACGGCAGCACGGGUGCUUGCACCUGGUGGCGAGUGGCGAACGGGUGAGUAAUACAUCGGAACAUGUCCUGUAGUGGGGGAUAGCCCGGCGAAAGCCGGAUUAAUACCGCAUACGAUCUACGGAUGAAAGCGGGGGACCUUCGGGCCUCGCGCUAUAGGGUUGGCCGAUGGCUGAUUAGCUAGUUGGUGGGGUAAAGGCCUACCAAGGCGACGAUCAGUAGCUGGUCUGAGAGGACGACCAGCCACACUGGGACUGAGACACGGCCCAGACUCCUACGGGAGGCAGCAGUGGGGAAUUUUGGACAAUGGGCGAAAGCCUGAUCCAGCAAUGCCGCGUGUGUGAAGAAGGCCUUCGGGUUGUAAAGCACUUUUGUCCGGAAAGAAAUCCUUGGCUCUAAUACAGUCGGGGGAUGACGGUACCGGAAGAAUAAGCACCGGCUAACUACGUGCCAGCAGCCGCGGUAAUACGUAGGGUGCGAGCGUUAAUCGGAAUUACUGGGCGUAAAGCGUGCGCAGGCGGUUUGCUAAGACCGAUGUGAAAUCUCCGGGCUCAACCUGGGAACUGCAUUGGUGACUGGCAGGCUAGAGUAUGGCAGAGGGGGGUAGAAUUCCACGUGUAGCAGUGAAAUGCGUAGAGAUGUGGGAGGAAUACCGAUGGCGAAAGCAGCCCCCUGGGCCAAUACUGACGCUCAUGCACGAAAGCGUGGGGGAGCAAACAGGAUUAGAUACCCUGGUAGUCCACGCCCUAAACGAUGUCAACUAGUUGUUGGGGAUUCAUUUCCUUUAGUAACGUAGCUAACGCGUGAAGUUGACCGCUGGGGAGUACGGUCGCAAGAUUAAAACUCAAAGGAAUUGACGGGGACCCGCACAAGCGGUGGAUGAUGUGGAUUAAUUCGAUGCAACGCGAAAAACCUUACCUACCCUUGACAUGGUCGGAAUCCCGCUGAGAGGUGGGAGUGCUCGAAAGAGAACCGGCGCACAGGUGCUGCAUGGCUGUCGUCAGCUCGUGUCGUGAGAUGUUGGGUUAAGUCCCGCAACGAGCGCAACCCUUGUCCUUAGUUGCUACGCAAGAGCACUCUAAGGAGACUGCCGGUGACAAACCGGAGGAAGGUGGGGAUGACGUCAAGUCCUCAUGGCCCUUAUGGGUAGGGCUUCACACGUCAUACAAUGGUCGGAACAGAGGGUUGCCAACCCGCGAGGGGGAGCUAAUCCCAGAAAACCGAUCGUAGUCCGGAUUGCACUCUGCAACUCGAGUGCAUGAAGCUGGAAUCGCUAGUAAUCGCGGAUCAGCAUGCCGCGGUGAAUACGUUCCCGGGUCUUGUACUCACCGCC
rnacentral:rRNA from 1 species